GGGCUUGUGGCCUAAUGGUUAAGGCGCCAGAUUUCGGUUCUUCCUUUGUACCUGAUCCUCUGGAGAUUGUCGGUUCGACUCCGGUCAAGCUCG